rnacentral:rRNA from 1 species
AUGGAGCCGACCUUGAAAUACCACCCUUUAAUGUUUGAUGUUCUAACGUUGACCCGUAAUCCGGGUUGCGGACAGUGUCUGGUGGGUAGUUUGACUGGGGCGGUCUCCUCCUAAAGAGUAACGGAGGAGCACGAAGGUUGGCUAAUCCUGGUCGGACAUCAGGAGGUUAGUGCAAUGGCAUAAGCCAGCUUGACUGCGAGCGUGACGGCGCGAGCAGGUGCGAAAGCAGGUCAUAGUGAUCCGGUGGUUCUGAAUGGAAGGGCCAUCGCUCAACGGAUAAAAGGUACUCCGGGGAUAACAGGCUGAUACCGCCCAAGAGUUCAUAUCGACGGCGGUGUUUGGCACCUCGAUGUCGGCUCAUCACAUCCUGGGGCUGAAGUAGGUCCCAAGGGUAUGGCUGUUCGCCAUUUAAAGUGGUACGCGAGCUGGGUUUAGAACGUCGUGAGACAGUUCGGUCCCUAUCUGCCGUGGGCGCUGGAGAACUGAGGGGGGCUGCUCCUAGUACGAGAGGACCGGAGUGGACGCAUCACUGGUGUUCGGGUUGUCAUGCCAAUGGCACUGCCCGGUAGCUAAAUGCGGAAGAGAUAAGUGCUGAAAGCAUCUAAGCACGAAACUUGCCCCGAGAUGAGUUCUCCCUGACCCUUUAAGGGUCCUGAAGGAACGUUGAAGACGACGACGUUGAUAGGCCGGGUGUGUAAGCGCAGCGAUGCGUUGAGCUAACCGGUACUAAUGAACCGUGAGGCUUAACCUUACAACGCCGAAG